UACGUAGGGUGCAAGCGUUAAUCGGAAUUACUGGGCGUAAAGCGUGCGCAGGCGGUUUUGUAAGUCUGAUGUGAAAUCCCCGGGCUCAACCUGGGAAUUGCAUUGGAGACUGCAAGGCUAGAAUCUGGCAGAGGGGGGUAGAAUUCCACGUGUAGCAGUGAAAUGUGUAGAGAUGUGGAGGAACACCGAUGGCGAAGGCAGCCCCCUGGGUCAAGAUUGACGCUCAUGCACGAAAGCGUGGGGAGCAAACAGG
rnacentral:rRNA from 1 species